rnacentral:rRNA from 1 species
GAUGAACGCUGGCGGCGUGCCUAAAACAUGCAAGUCGAGCGGUAAGGCUCUGCACUUAGUGUUUGAUCGAAGUAAUUUAUUACUACAGUAGACCAAUUGGAACCUUGGCGGGUGAAGAGCGGAAUAGGAAGAUCGAAUUAUAAGUGUAGAGUACACGAGCGGCGGACGGGUGAGUAACACGUGGGAAUCUACCCCAAACUGAGGGAUAAGCACCGGAAACGGUGUCUAAUACCGCAUAUGGUCUUCGGAUUAAAGCUUCGGCGGUUUGGGAAGAGCCCGCGUAAGAUUAGCUAGUUGGUGAGGUAAAGGCUCACCAAGGCGACGAUCUUUAGCUGGUUUGAGAGGAUGAUCAGCCACACUGGAACUGAGACACGGUCCAGACUCCUACGGGAGGCAGCAGUUAGGAAUUUUCCACAAUGGCGCAAGCCUGAUGGAGCAACGCCGCGUGCAGGAUGAAGGUUUCGGAUUGUAAACUGCUUUAUGUGUGAAG